GUAACUAAUUCAUUAUUACUAUUAUUGCAGUUAAAAGGAAGACCAGGAAGAGGGGGUGGGGUGGGGGGAAAGGAAGAACAAAAAGGAGGGGGGAAUAAGAUAAAGAGCAAAGAUUUAUGGAGUGGGAAGAGACCUCAGAGGUAAUCUAGUACUGAGAUGGAAUAAAUUAUUUUCGCCAGUUGGGAACUUGAUCCAGACAUUCUAUAUGUUGCAAGCCUUAAAAAAAUCAAGAACAAGAAAAUAUCCUGCACGAGGACGGGAGCGCGUGGUGUGAGCAGCUGGAGCACACUCUGGGCGCGCGGGCGGCUCCCGGACUUCAACAGGAGCGCUAGCGUGUGGAUAUAUGGCUGUGCAAAUCCAUGCAAAACUGAUUGUGAUACUGUGUUUCUUCUGCGGCCCUACCUUCUCACGAAUCUCCAGUCUUCACACGAAUCUCCAGUCUUCGCACCCAUUCAUUCAUGGGUGGGGAUUUGUUGCACUGCUUGUGUUAUAUAUAAAGUAUUGCACUUGUCCCGGCCUGUGGAAGAAAUGAGGAAUUUAUCAUCUUCUUUUAAUGUUUAAAGGUUGUAAGUUCUGAUACUUGAUCAUUGUAAAAUGACCUGUUUUGCUGUUGUCGGGUGGAUCACGAUGCAAUUUUGAUUAGUAUAAUAGGAGAAAAAUUGCACGGUAUCCAUCUGCGAACCGCAGGACCCUUGUUGACAACAGUCUGUUGGUACUUAAGUAAGAUGUCCUUUCUCUAGUUAACUGCAGUUAAAAAAUGUUCUGAAACACAUCUGGAGUUUUAAAAAUGGUAACAGUUUUUAAAAUAAAAUAUUUGAAAUCAAGAAGGUGUAUUUUCGCAGUUGGGUGAAGGAGCAGAUUGUUACUGAAUGUAAAUGGACAUUUAAAUGUAAAUUUGCAAAAUAAAAGAUAUUUAUAGAUCUGGAAAA
ensembl:lncRNA